rnacentral:misc_RNA from 1 species
GAGUUCAUGCCCUUCGGGGUAGGUCUCCCACCCUUUGUAUACCGUACCUCUGUUGCUUUGGCGGGCCGCCUAGCUACUGGCUUCGGCUGGUAAGUGCCCGCCAGAGGACCCAAAGCCCUGAAUAUUAGUGUCGUCUGAGUAAAAUUUUAAUAUUUAAAACUUUCAACAACGGAUCUCUUGGCUCU